rnacentral:rRNA from 1 species
CCUACGGGUGGCAGCAGUGAGGAAUAUUGGUCAAUGGACGCGAGUCUGAACCAGCCAAGUAGCGUGAAGGAUGACUGCCCUCUGGGUUGUAAACUUCUUUUAUAUGGGAAUAAAAUGUUCCACGUGUGGGUUUUUGUAUGUACCAUACGAAUAAGGAUCGGCUAACUCCGUGCCAGCAGCCGCGGUAAUACGGUGGAUCCGAUCGUUAUCCGGAUUUAUUGGGUUUAAAGGGAGCGUAGGUGGAUUGUUAAGUCAGUUGUGAAAGUUUGCGGCUCAACCGUGAAAUUGCAGUUGAGACUGGCAGUCUUGAGUACAGUAGAGGUGGGCAGAAUUCGUGGUGUAGCGGUGAAAUGCGUAGAUAUUAGGAGGAACACCAGUGGCGAAGGCGGCCUGCUGGACGACGACUGACGGUGAGGCGCGAAAGCGUGGGGAGCAAACAGGAUUAGAUACCCCAGUAGUC